UUAAUUUAAUUAGUAAUUGUUCAAACAAUAUUUAUGACAAUAAUGACUUUAAGACUUUUUUUACUAUUCCUUACAUUCCUUCGGUUUAUAAAGAUUUUAACUCCAUAGCCAGAAGCUUCAAUUUAAAAUUAUCAUGUUCAAUUCCUAACAAUCUAACACAAUUCAUACGGACGGGCAAAGACAGUUUAAAUAAAUUUUCACAUUGUCAGGUUGUUUACAUGAUAUCAUGUCGAGAUUGUGAGAAAACUUACGUGGGUCAGACAAAAAGACAGCUUAAUACUAGAAUCAAAGAACACAAGAAUGACAUAAAAAAGAGCUGUUCCCCCUCUGUUAUAUCCAAACAUAAAUUGGAUUUUUCUCACGAUUUUGACUGGGACAAUGUGAGAAUUCUGGACGGAGAACCUUCUUAUGGAAAGAGAUUGAUAUCUGAAAUGGUGUUCAUAAAAAGACAACGUGCAGACUUGAACAAUUAAAAUGACACAGAACGGUUACCGGACUCUUAUCUCCCUAUUAUUAAUUUGUUUCUCCCGUUAUAAUUGUAUCGUUUUUCUUUUCAUAUAUUAAUUCCUGUUUUCCCCUCCUAGGUACUUAUACCCUCCCCUCCAUACUCCUUUUUCUUUCCGUCCCCCUUCUCCACCGCCCUCUCACUAAUCUUUCAUCGCUUGAAUUUAUCGUUAUUCUAUCACGUACAUUGAGGUUUCAACCAUCACAUUAUAUGGUUCUAAGUUUUUUCUCCUACCUCGUUCCAUCUUAUGUGGAUGAGCUUUCUACUAUGUUUAACACAAUUUAACGUGGUUUUAACUACUCUUCAGUUAAUUAUGUCAAUUUACUUCGUUUUUUGUAUUUAAUUUUUGCGUUGCGUAUUGAUUGGUUUUUUUAAUAACAUUGAUAAAGGCCUGAUGACAGGCUGAAAACGUUUGUUCUUUAAUGUAUUGUUUCAAUGGUUAUAAAUUAAUACACGAUAACCUUCGCACGAA